UACGUAGGGUCCGAGCGUUGUCCGGAAUUACUGGGCGUAAAGAGCUCGUAGGUGGUUUGUCGCGUUGUUCGUGAAAACUCACAGCUCAACUGUGGGCGUGCGGGCGAUACGGGCAGACUAGAGUACUGCAGGGGAGACUGGAAUUCCUGGUGUAGCGGUGGAAUGCGCAGAUAGUCAGGAGGAACACCGGUGGCGAAGGCGGGUCUCUGGGCAGUAACUGACGCUGGAGGAGCGAAAGCGUGGGGAGCGAACAGG
rnacentral:rRNA from 1 species